rnacentral:lncRNA from 1 species
GUGAAUACAUAAUAGAAAGUGCAGCUGACUCCCAUGCCUCAGCAAGUUUACCCUACGAUUUUUUUAUCACUCGAAUUCUUCUUCUAUGGAAUUGAUUUUUUAGCCUAUCCAGUGGUAGAAGUCUCUACGACCUAUGAUUCAAAGACCUUCACAAGUAUGGGCUAUGUUUUGAUUGAAAAAGAAUGGUGUAAAAAAGAGUCUGUCAAGA